CCAUACAAAUGCUCCUCUUCAAAGCAGAGGACUAGCCCCCAGCUUAUGUCCAUGGAUGUCUGUGGUCUGUAUUGCUCUUCCCGAUCUGCUGCUCAGUCCAACUCUUGGUGCACAGUGUGUGCUCAGUAAAGUUUUCUUGGCCAAUUCAACCCAUCAAACGAGUGAAGAAGGAGGGUGCUAUCUGUUGUGUAGGUGGUUUUUUUUAGUUAUAUCUCCCCCCCCCCCAUUAUGGUCAAAGAUGGUCAGUCUUCAUUUUGUGUCCUGUAUAAUUUACUGUUCACAAUCUGCAAUGUUUUCAAAACUAUGAA
rnacentral:lncRNA from 1 species